ACGGGUGGCAGCAGUAGGGAAUAUUGCACAAUGGGCGAAAGCCUGAUGCAGCGACGCCGCGUGGGGGAUGAAGGCCUUCGGGUCGUAAAGCGCUUUUAGAGGGGAUGAAUAAAGACAGUACCUUCAGAAUAAGGAUCGGCUAACUACGUGCCAGCAGCCGCGGUAAAACGUAGGAUCCGAGCGUUAUCCGGAAUCACUGGGCGUAAAGGGCGUGUAGGCGGCUUGGCAAGUCGGUCAUGAAAGCUCCCGGCUCAACUGGGAGAGGUUGUCCGAUACUGCUAGGCUAGAGGGCAAGAGAGGGAGGUGGAAUUCCCGGUGUAGUGGUGAAAUGCGUAGAUAUCGGGAGGAACACCAGUGGCGAAGGCGGCCUCCUGGCUUGCACCUGACGCUGAGACGCGAAAGCGUGGGGAGCGAACGGGAUUAGAAACCCCGGUAGUCCACGCCGUAAACGAUGUCAACUAGGUGUCGGCGGUGUAGAAUCCGUCGGUAUCGAAGCUAACGCGUUAAGUUGACCGCCUGGGGACUACGAUCGCAAGAUUAAAACUCAAAGGAAUUGACGGGGACCCGCACAAGCAGCGGAGCGUGUGGUUUAAUUCGAGGCUACGCGAAGAACCUUACCAGGGAUUGACAUGUACGUAGUAGGGAAGCGAAAGCGGACCGACCCUUCGGGGAGCGUACACAGGUGAUGCAUGGCUGUCGUCAGCUCGUGCCGUGAGGUGUCAGGUUAAGUCCUGUAACGAGCGCAACCCCUGUCGUGUGUUAUACGUGUCACACGAGACUGCCGGUGUCAAACCGGAGGAAGGCGGGGAUGACGUCAAGUCAGCAUGUCCUUCAUAUCCUGGGCUACACACACGCUACAAUGGUCGGGACAAUAGGCAGCCAAGCCGCGAGGCGGAGCUAAUCCUCUAAACCCGAUCUCAGUUCGGAUUGUAGGCUGCAACUCGCCUGCAUGAAGCCGGAGUUGCUAGUAACCGCGCGUCAGCAACAGUGCGGUGAAUACGUUCCCGGGUCUUGUACACACCGCCCGUCACGUCAUGGAAGCUGGCAACACCUGAAGCCGGUGGCCUAACCGCAAGGAGGGAGCCGUCCAAGGUGGGGUUGGUGACUGGGACGAAGUCGUAACAAGGUAGCUGUAGCGGAAGCUGCGGCUG
rnacentral:rRNA from 1 species